rnacentral:rRNA from 1 species
UGGGGAAUAUUGCACAAUGGGGGGAAACCCGUGAUGCAGCGACGCCGCGUGGAGGAAGAAGGUCUUCGGAUUGUAAACUCCUGUCGUUGGGGACGAUAAUGACGGUACCCAACAAGAAAGCCACGGCUAACUACGUGCCAGCAGCCGCGGUAAAACGUAGGUGGCAAGCGUUGUCCGGAAUUACUGGGUGUAAAGGGAGCGCAGGCGGAAGGACAAGUUGGAAGUGAAACCCACGGGCUCAACCCGUGAACUGCUUUCAAAACUGUUUUUCUUGAGUGGUGUAGAGGUAGGCGGAAUUCCCGGUGUAGCGGUGGAAUGCGUAGAUAUCGGGAGGAACACCAGUGG